UACGGGAGGCAGCAGUGGGGAAUAUUGGACAAUGGGCGCAAGCCUGAUCCAGCAAUGCCGCGUGUGUGAAGAAGGCCUUCGGGUUGUAAAGCACUUUUAUCGGGAGCGAAAUACCACGGGUUAAUAACCUAUGGGGCUGACGGUACCCGAGGAAUAAGCACCGGCUAACUUCGUGCCAGCAGCCGCGGUAAUACGAAGGGUGCAAGCGUUAAUCGGAAUUACUGGGCGUAAAGGGUGCGUAGGCGGUUCGUUAAGUCUGUUGUGAAAUCCCCGGGCUCAACCUGGGAAUGGCAAUGGAUACUGGCAAGCUAGAGUGUGUCAGAGGAUGGUGGAAUUCCCGGUGUAGCGGUGAAAUGCGUAGAGAUCGGGAGGAACAUCAGUGGCGAAGGCGGCCAUCUGGGACAACACUGACGCUGAAGCACGAAAGCGUGGGGAGCAAACAGGAUUAGAUACCCUGGUAGUCCACGCCCUAAACGAUGCGAACUGGAUGUUGGUCUCAACUCGGAGAUCAGUGUCGAAGCUAACGCGUUAAGUUCGCCGCCUGGGGAGUACGGUCGCAAGACUGAAACUCAAAGGAAUUGACGGGGGCCCGCACAAGCGGUGGAGUAUGUGGUUUAAUUCGAUGCAACGCGAAGAACCUUACCUGGCCUUGACAUGUCCGGAAUCGAGCAGAGAUGCUUGAGUGCCUUCGGGAAUCGGAACACAGGUGCUGCAUGGCUGUCGUCAGCUCGUGUCGUGAGAUGUUGGGUUAAGUCCCGCAACGAGCGCAACCCUUGUCCUUAGUUGCCAGCGAGUAAUGUCGGGAACUCUAAGGAGACUGCCGGUGACAAACCGGAGGAAGGUGGGGAUGACGUCAAGUCCUCAUGGCCCUUACGGCCAGGGCUACACACGUACUACAAUGGUCGGUACAGAGGGUAGCGAAGCCGCGAGGUGAAGCCAAUCCCAGAAAACCUCUCUCAGUCCGGAUCGCAGUCUGCAACUCGACUGCGUGAAGUCGGAAUCGCUAGUAAUCGCGAAUCAGCAUUGUCGCGGUGAAUACGUUCCCGGGCCUUGUACACACCGCCCGUCACACCAUGGGAGUGGGUUGCUCCAGAAGCAGGUAGUCUAACCGCAAGGAGGACGCUUGCCACGGAGUGGUUCAUGACUGGGGUGAAGUCGUAACAAGGUAACC
rnacentral:rRNA from 1 species